UACGUAGGGGGCAAGCGUUGUCCGGAUUUAUUGGGCGUAAAGAGCGUGUAGGCGGCCAGACAGGUCAGCUGUGAAAACUCGAGGCUCAACCUCGAGACGUCGGUUGAAACCGUCUGGCUAGAGUCCGGAAGAGGAGAGUGGAAUUCCCGGUGUAGCGGUGAAAUGCGCAGAUAUCGGGAGGAACACCAAUGGCGAAGGCAGCUCGCUGGGACGGUACUGACGCUGAGGCGCGAAAACGUGGGGAGCAAACAGGG
rnacentral:rRNA from 1 species